AGAGUUUGAUCCUGGCUCAGGACGAACGCUGGCGGCGUGCCUAAUACAUGCAAGUAGAACGCUGACUACUUUAGCUUGCUAGAGUAGAAGGAGUUGCGAACGGGUGAGUAACGCGUAGGUAACCUGCCUACUAGCGGGGGAUAACUAUUGGAAACGAUAGCUAAUACCGCAUAACAGUGUUUAACACAUGUUAGAUGCUUGAAAGAUGCAAAUGCAUCACUAGUAGAUGGACCUGCGUUGUAUUAGCUAGUUGGUGGGGUAACGGCCUACCAAGGCGACGAUACAUAGCCGACCUGAGAGGGUGAUCGGCCACACUGGGACUGAGACACGGCCCAGACUCCUACGGGAGGCAGCAGUAGGGAAUCUUCGGCAAUGGGGGCAACCCUGACCGAGCAACGCCGCGUGAGUGAAGAAGGUUUUCGGAUCGUAAAGCUCUGUUGUAAGAGAAGAACGUGUGUGAGAGUGGAAAGUUCACACAGUGACGGUAACUUACCAGAAAGGGACGGCUAACUACGUGCCAGCAGCCGCGGUAAUACGUAGGUCCCGAGCGUUGUCCGGAUUUAUUGGGCGUAAAGCGAGCGCAGGCGGUUUAAUAAGUCUGAAGUUAAAGGCAGUGGCUUAACCAUUGUUCGCUUUGGAAACUGUUAAACUUGAGUGCAGAAGGGGAGAGUGGAAUUCCAUGUGUAGCGGUGAAAUGCGUAGAUAUAUGGAGGAACACCGGUGGCGAAAGCGGCUCUCUGGUCUGUAACUGACGCUGAGGCUCGAAAGCGUGGGGAGCAAACAGGAUUAGAUACCCUGGUAGUCCACGCCGUAAACGAUGAGUGCUAGGUGUUAGGCCCUUUCCGGGGCUUAGUGCCGCAGCUAACGCAUUAAGCA
rnacentral:rRNA from 1 species